GGGGGCGAAAGGAUUUCGACGGGGAAUUUGAGCCCCGAUAAGCGAGCAGAGGCGGGGCGCCUCUAUAAAAGCCCCAAGUUAGAAAAUAACUAACAACUCCAAAACUGUUUUAGCGGCCGCCUAAGCGGCUGCCGUCGCGCCCGGGAGCACCGCGGCCCGGGAGAGCGGCGUGAUGGAGCGGUGAACGUGCAUCGGCAAGGCCCCAUACCCGAUCACGCAGCAUGGGGCUGUCCCGAACCGGAGCGUGUCCUUUCGCGCCGGCAAGGGAGAGAAACCGAUAAAGGACUACGCUCGUAGAAAGUCGGGAGGAGAGUUUUUCGGACAGGGGUUCGACUCCCCUCGCCUCCACCA
rnacentral:tmRNA from 1 species